AGAAAUCCGACUAAUAAAUAUAAAUCAUACCGAAUUAUUUAGAAAAAAGGUUAAAAUACUGUUAUUUCUGUGUUUGUACAAACCUAGGUUGCUAGCGUGCUAGCUAACAGGCAGCUCAGAGUUAGCGGGCUAGCUAGCGUUAGCUCCCUCAGAAUGAUACAGGGAAUUCUAACAUUUACACUCGUACACAGACCUCAGACACCUGAAUAUUUGAGAAACAAAAGAUAAAAAAGCAUAAUGAGCUAGCUAGCUAGUUAAUUAUUGGGUUUUUCAGUUUUUCAGGCAGUAUUUUAGCUAACAUUAGCAGUUAGCCAUCCACUGCAGUCUGCCAUGCACUGGUUUAAACUGGUUUAAUCUGGUUUAAACCAAUGCAGAGUGUUCUAAAGACUGACUGAACACUACUGCAAGGGUGCUGCAAAUUUUAUCUUCCUCCAUUAUUAUGAUCAAGAAAGCUGUGGCGUUACAAGAAAGCACUUGUCCCGAAAGUCCUUCUCCAAACUGACUCUGUUGAGAAAACGGCACCAAACUGACUCUGUUGAGAAAACGGCACCAAACUGACUCUGUUGAGAAAACGGCACCAAACUAACUCUGUUGAGAAAACGGCACCAAACUAACUCUGUUGAGAAAACGGCACCAAACUGACUCUGUUGAGAAAACGGCACCAAACUAACUCUGUUGAGAAAACGGCACCAAACUAACUCUGUUGAGAAAACGGCACCAAACUGACUCUGUUGAGAAAACGGCACCAAACUGACUCUGUUGAGAAAACGGCACCAAACUAACUCUGUUGAGAAAACGGCACCAAACUGACUCUGUUGAGAAAACGGCACCAAACUAACUCUGUUGAGAAAACGGCACCAAACUGACUCUGUUGAGAAAACGGCACCAAACUGACUCUGUUGAGAAAACGGCACCAAACUAACUCUGUUGAGAAAACGGCACCAAACUGACUCUGUUGAGAAAACGGCACCAAACUGACACUGUUGUGAAAACAGAACAAUUUGAGAUAAUAUUGUUGUAAAACCAUAACCAUUUGAGAUCAGACACUGUUGUGAAUACAAAACACCCUUUGAAGACAGACAUUUGUGAAAACUGAACCCCCUGAAAACGGAACCCUUUAAAAACACUGUUGUGACAAGAUAAUCCUUUGAACAGACCUUUUUCUUUAUUUAUCCUGUUAGUAUUUUCUUGUGAUUUGUUUCAGUUCUGGUGAUCUAAAGAAGCAGACUAUCUGAAGCUGAAGACCAUCUCCAUCUGGACCUUAUCUGCAUUUGAAGACUGUCAAACAUCCACAUCAUUACAUUUAGUUAAUUUCCUUGCCAUUUUAUUGCUUAUUCGUAAUUUUAAUCCAACUUUCAUUUAUUAAAGACUGCAUAUUGCUUGUGGAUUGGAUUCCUUCUGUUUUUGAAUUAUAUGUACACUUUAUUGUUAUAUUAAAUAUUGUGUGUGGAUACUAA